GGUGGUAUAGCUUAGUGGUAGAGCACUUGUCUGUCAUGUUCAAGGAUCUUGGAUUAAUCCCUAAUACCACAA
rnacentral:tRNA from 1 species